rnacentral:rRNA from 1 species
AUUGAACGCUGGCGGAAUGCUUUACACAUGCAAGUCGAGCGGCAGCGCGGGGCAACCUGGCGGCGAGCGGCGAACGGGUGAGUAAUACAUCGGAACGUGCCCAGACGUGGGGGAUAGCCCGGCGAAAGCCGGAUUAAUACCGCAUGAGAUCUGAGGAUGAAAGCAGGGGACCUUCGGGCCUUGCGCGUUUGGAGCGGCCGAUGGCAGAUUAGGUAGUUGGUGAGGUAAAGGCUUACCAAGCCUGCGAUCUGUAGCUGGUCUGAGAGGAUGAUCAGCCACACUGGGACUGAGACACGGCCCAGACUCCUACGGGAGGCAGCAGUGGGGAAUUUUGGACAAUGGGCGCAAGCCUGAUCCAGCCAUUCCGCGUGCAGGAUGAAGGCCCUCGGGUUGUAAACUGCUUUGUACAGAGGGAAA